UAUACAAUUAAAUCUUUAAAGUAAUCUCUUCCAGAAAUGACAGCUCAAGGAGAAAAUGAAUGUAUUUUAAAGUGCCGGAAAGCUCAAAGAGUGCAUCUACUAAAUUGCAAAGCUCAGAAGACAUUGCUAUAAUACAGCUCAAACACCCACCUGCUGAACAGGGGCUUACCCCACUGACUGCCAACCAGGUCUUUACCAGCAUCAUGAGCUCACAGGACAUCUCCAAGCUGUCCAGACACAUCUCAGCUACCCUCUGCAAUGAGCACCUUGAGCUCCUUCAGCUGUUGCUGAUGAGUGAAUCACCAAGAUGAUAACACUGUAGAUGCUGCUGGGUUUAUCUAUCAGCUGCUGAUGGUCUUCCUUCUCAGAACUCUUGUGGAUAAGGAAGCUACUUUGGUGCUCUAAGACAACACAGGAGUAUUCAG
ensembl:lncRNA